UAUAAACAGGCGCACCUGCUCUCAGCAGGCACUUUUUUCAGGGAGAUUCAUUCUGAUAACCCGAUCGUAGUUUGAAUUUAUUUUCAGCUCUAUCUGACAAUGUAUUUUGUGCUUACUGUUGUUUUGCCUCUGCUCAUGCUUUCCUUCGGGGAGUGUGCAAGUGUCAACGACACACAAAGCAAAAUUGCCGACCCCGUAUCCCAGUACGAUUUCCGUGUUGAAUGGACAGGUAUGGGGAACAUGGGGAACUGCAGCGAAGUGUCCUUCAGGCACAUACGCUACGGGCUUUAGCCUCAAGGUUCUGAGAAAUCAGUGGUCUUGGGAUGACACAGCCCUAAAUGGAAUUGCCCUUCAGUGCUCUAAACCGAUCGGGCCUACUGGUUAUGUCGGGCCCUACACAACCAUCAGGACUGAUGAAGGAAGCUGGGGAACCUGGACACAGAACAUCUGGUGCCCCAGUGGAGUACUCACAUCUUUCCAGCUGCAAGUGGAGAGUUAUCAGGGAGUGUUUCGAGAUGACACCGCUGCUAACAACAUAAGGUUCACGUGCACCGGAGGCAAUGUGUUGGAAGGCAGUGGAAUGAUCUGGGGUAGCUGGGGUACCUGGAGCUCAGAUUGUGAUGGAACUGGGAUUUGUGGGUUCCAAACGAAAGUGGACCCACCUCAGGGCAUAUGGGAUGAUACAUCUCUUAAUGAUGUCCUCUUCUAUUGCUGCUAACUAAGCAUGAAUUGACAAGACGAGAACAUGAACAUGAAGAAUAGCAGCUCCAUAUAUAAUCAAACUAAUGAUCUCUAUAUUUCUCAUGAAAUGAGUUCUCUAAAUAGAAUAUGAAUCUUUCAGUAAUCACAAAAAUGUACUCGCUGAUGAUUCUGUCUCGUUUAAUAUCCUUUCCUAUACUGUACUUUUGAAUGGAAAAUCAGUUUUGAAUUACUUCAUGAAAAAAAACAUGUUAAUCAGCUUAACAGUUUUUCUUUUGUCUUUAUUCGAAAUAAUUAUUGUUCUUGUUAAACUAGAGCUUAACAACACUGAGCCGUAUGUUCACACAUUUUUAGAUUGAUUUAGAUUCUUUUAAAUAUAAUUUUUCCUGCAAUUAUAUAAAAAUGUAGAUCAACUACCCUGUAAACAGUAAUCGAUGUAAAUCACUGAAUUACAAAAUCCAUUUAUUUACAAAUUGAACUGUUAGUUAUUAAACCUUUUUGCAUGGGACAAUGGGACAUAGAUAUAGUUACAGAUAUAGUUACUCAUGGGACAAUCUUCCAGUAACAUUGUAAGUCAAUUCAUAUAUUCAAAAUAUAAUUGUAAUAAUAUAUCGUAACAGUACUUACAUUAACACUAUUUAGACUUUGGUAAGUAUUUGUAUGGGGGGCUAGGACAUUUUCACAUUUUCUACUACUACUGAUGCUCACUUUGAUUAUCAGCAUCAUACACAUCAGUCGCUGUCUCGUUACUCGAAGAUAAAAGUCACUCUUGGCAUUUGAACAUGAGGCUCAUCAUCAUCUCUUCACACGACGGAUCUCUGUUCAAAAUUUCUAAUGUUCAAAUUGUAAAUAAAUUGUUCUUUUUAAAUAUAACAAAAUUUUAUUUUGUAAACGUUAAAUAAAGCAUCAUUGGCCAGUU